rnacentral:rRNA from 1 species
AGCGAACGCUGGCGGCAGGCCUAACACAUGCAAGUCGAACGGAUCCUUCGGGAUUAGUGGCGGACGGGUGAGUAACACGUGGGAACGUGCCUUUUGGUUCGGAACAACUCAGGGAAACUUGAGCUAAUACCGGAUAAGCCCUUCGGGGGAAAGAUUUAUCGCCAUUAGAGCGGCCCGCGUAGGAUUAGCUAGUUGGUGGGGUAAAGGCCCACCAAGGCUACGAUCCAUAGCUGGUCUGAGAGGAUGAUCAGCCACACUGGGACUGAGACACGGCCCAGACUCCUACGGGAGGCAGCAGUGGGGAAUAUUGGACAAUGGGCGAAAGCCUGAUCCAGCAAUGCCGCGUGAGUGAUGAAGGCCUUAGGGUUGUAAAGCUCUUUU